GUUGUAUGGUUAAGUGACUAAGCGUACACGGUGGAUGCCUUGGCAGUCAGAGGCGAUGAAAGACGUAGUAACUUGCGAUAAGCCCAGAUUAGGUAGUAACAACCAUUUGAGUCUGGGAUUUCUGAAUGGGGAAACCCACGUGCAUAAGCACGUAUCCUUACCUGAAUACAUAGGGUAAGGAGGCGAACCGGGGGAACUGAAACAUCUAAGUACCCCGAGGAAAAGAAAUCAACCGAGAUUCCGAAAGUAGCGGCGAGCGAAAUUGGACUAGCCCUUAAGCUUUACACGCGUUAGACGAACGGUCUGGAAAGUCCGACGAUACAGGGUGAUAGUCCCGUAGUUGACGACGUGUGUUCAGUGAAAUCGAGUAGGGCGGGACACGUGAUAUCCUGUCUGAAUAUGGGGGGACCAUCCUCCAAGGCUAAAUACUACUGACUGACCGAUAGUGAACCAGUACCGUGAGGGAAAGGCGAAAAGAACCCCUGUGAGGGGAGUGAAAUAGAACCUGAAACCGUGUACGUACAAGCAGUAGGAGCAGGCUUGUCCUGUGACUGCGUACCUUUUGUAUAAUGGGUCAGCGACUUAUAUUCAGUGGCAAGGUUAACCAUCUAGGGGAGCCGUAGGGAAACCGAGUCUUAACUGGGCGUUCAGUCUCUGGAUAUAGACCCGAAACCAGGUGAUCUAGCCAUGGGCAGGUUGAAGGUUGAGUAACAUCAACUGGAGGACCGAACCGACUAAUGUUGAAAAAUUAGCGGAUGACUUGUGGCUAGGGGUGAAAGGCCAAUCAAACCUGGAGAUAGCUGGUUCUCCCCGAAAGCUAUUUAGGUAGCGCCUCGGACGAAUACUACUGGGGGUAGAGCACUGUUAAGGCUAGGGGGUCAUCCCGACUUACCAACCCUUUGCAAACUCCGAAUACCAGUAAGUACUAUCCGGGAGACACACGGCGGGUGCUAACGUCCGUCGUGGAGAGGGAAACAACCCAGACCGCCAGCUAAGGUCCCAAAUUACUACUAAGUGGGAAACGAUGUGGGAAGGCUCAGACAGCCAGGAUGUUGGCUUAGAAGCAGCCAUCAUUUAAAGAAAGCGUAAUAGCUCACUGGUCGAGUCGGCCUGCGCGGAAGAUGUAACGGGGCUAAGUAGUAAACCGAAGCUGCGGCAAUAUACUUUUGUAUAUUGGGUAGGGGAGCGUUCUGUAAGCGGUUGAAGGUGUGUGGUAACGCAUGCUGGACGUAUCAGAAGUGCGAAUGCUGACAUGAGUAACGAUAAAGGGGGUGAAAAACCUCCUCGCCGGAAGACCAAGGGUUCCUGUCCAACGUUAAUCGGGGCAGGGUAAGUCGACCCCUAAGGCGAGGCCGAAAGGCGUAGUCGAUGGGAAACGGGUUAAUAUUCCCGUACUUCUUACAAUUGCGAUGGGGGGACGGAGAAGGCUAGGUGGGCCUGGCGACGGUUGUCCAGGUUCAAGUGCGUAGGCUUAAGAGUUAGGUAAAUCCGGCUCUUUUUAAGGCUGAGACACGACGUCGAGCACCUACGGGUGUGAAGUCAUUGAUGCCAUGCUUCCAGGAAAAGCCUCUAAGCUUCAGAUUGUAAGGAAUCGUACCCCAAACCGACACAGGUGGUCGGGUAGAGAAUACCAAGGCGCUUGAGAGAACUCGGGUGAAGGAACUAGGCAAAAUGGUACCGUAACUUCGGGAGAAGGUACGCUCUUGAUGGUGAAGUCCCUUGCGGAUGGAGCUGACGAGAGUCGCAGAUACCAGGUGGCUGCAACUGUUUAUUAAAAACACAGCACUGUGCAAAAUCGUAAGAUGACGUAUACGGUGUGACGCCUGCCCGGUGCCGGAAGGUUAAUUGAUGGGGUUAGACUUCGGUCGAAGCUCUUGAUCGAAGCCCCGGUAAACGGCGGCCGUAACUAUAACGGUCCUAAGGUAGCGAAAUUCCUUGUCGGGUAAGUUCCGACCUGCACGAAUGGCGUAAUGAUGGCCACGCUGUCUCCACCCGAGACUCAGUGAAAUUGAAAUCGCUGUGAAGAUGCAGUGUACCCGCGGCUAGACGGAAAGACCCCGUGAACCUUUACUACAGCUUGGCACUGAACAUUGACCCUACAUGUGUAGGAUAGGUGGGAGGCUUUGAAGCAAGUACGCCAGUAUUUGUGGAGCCGUCCUUGAAAUACCACCCUUGUAGUGUUGAUGUUCUAACGUCGACCCCUAAUCGGGGUUGCGGACAGUGCCUGGUGGGUAGUUUGACUGGGGCGGUCUCCUCCCAAAGAGUAACGGAGGAGCACGAAGGUGGGCUAAUCACGGUUGGACAUCGUGAGGUUAGUGCAAUGGCAUAAGCCCGCUUGACUGCGAGAAUGACAAUUCGAGCAGGUGCGAAAGCAGGUCAUAGUGAUCCGGUGGUUCUGAAUGGAAGGGCCAUCGCUCAACGGAUAAAAGGUACUCCGGGGAUAACAGGCUGAUACCGCCCAAGAGUUCAUAUCGACGGCGGUGUUUGGCACCUCGAUGUCGGCUCAUCACAUCCUGGGGCUGAAGUCGGUCCCAAGGGUAUGGCUGUUCGCCAUUUAAAGUGGUACGCGAGCUGGGUUUAGAACGUCGUGAGACAGUUCGGUCCCUAUCUGCCGUGGGCGUUGGAAGAUUGAAGGGGGCUGCUCCUAGUACGAGAGGACCGGAGUGGACGAACCUCUGGUGUUCGGGUUGUGUCGCCAGACGCAUUGCCCGGUAGCUAAGUUCGGAAUCGAUAACCGCUGAAAGCAUCUAAGCGGGAAGCGAGCCCUGAGAUGAGUCUUCCCUGAUACUUUAAGUAUCCUAAAGGGUUGUCGGAGACUACGACGUUGAUAGGUCAGGUGUGUAAGUGCUGUGAGGCAUUGAGCUAACUGAUACUAAUUGCCCGUGAGGCUUAACCAUACAACACCCAAGGGGUUU
rnacentral:rRNA from 1 species